GACAGCUGUAGGCACUUUGCAGACUCUACCUUAUCCUCUGAGCAAUCCUGGGAGGAAGGUGUUAUUACCAAGUCUAAUCUACAGUUGAAACAACUGAGGCUUGGAGAAUUGGUUCUUGACUUUGACUUACCUCUCAGUGAACUGUGAGCCCUGCAGAAAUAUUCAAGUGUAAAGUCAUGGGUCCUGGGGAGAACAGAGAAGUGGAGAAGAAGGGAACUUCUUUUAAGGUUGAGGGUCUGGUGCUGCACAUUCUGGCAAGUCAAUGCAAGCAGUUCUUACUCCGGAAAACGCAGAAACCUCCCAUGUUGGUUUAGAACUAAAAACAUUGGCUUAAAACCAAAAAUGUUUGUUUAGAACUAAGAAUAAUGGCCACUUUAUUGAAUGCAUGUGUUUUUCAGAUUCCAGUUUAAUUAAAAUCAGUGAGACAGAGUGGUUUCAUCAUUGAACCUUAA